UGGGGAAUAUUGGACAAUGGGCGAAAGCCUGAUCCAGCCAUGCCGCGUGUGUGAAGAAGGUCUUCGGAUUGUAAAGCACUUUAAGUUGGGAGGAAGGGCUGCAAGUUAAUACCUUGUAGUUUUGACGUUACCAACAGAAUAAGCACCGGCUAACUUCGUGCCAGCAGCCGCGGUAAUACGAAGGGUGCAAGCGUUAAUCGGAAUUACUGGGCGUAAAGCGCGCGUAGGUGGUUUGGUAAGAUGGAUGUGAAAUCCCCGGGCUCAACCUGGGAACUGCAUCCAUAACUGCCUGACUAGAGUACGGUAGAGGGUGGUGGAAUUUCCUGUGUAGCGGUGAAAUGCGUAGAUAUAGGAAGGAACACCAGUGGCGAAGGCGACCACCUGGACUGAUACUGACACUGAGGUGCGAAAGCGUGGGGAGCAAACA
rnacentral:rRNA from 2 species